AUUGAACGCUGGCGGCAUGCCUUACACAUGCAAGUCGAACGGCAGCACGGGAGCAAUCCUGGUGGCGAGUGGCGAACGGGUGAGUAAUAUAUCGGAACGUGCCCAGUCGUGGGGGAUAACGUAGCGAAAGCUACGCUAAUACCGCAUACGAUCUAAGGAUGAAAGCGGGGGAUCGCAAGACCUCGCGCGAUUGGAGCGGCCGAUAUCAGAUUAGCUAGUUGGUGAGGUAAAGGCUCACCAAGGCGACGAUCUGUAGCUGGUCUGAGAGGACGACCAGCCACACUGGGACUGAGACACGGCCCAGACUCCUACGGGAGGCAGCAGUGGGGGAAUUUUUGGACAAUGGGCGCAAGCCUGAUCCAGCAAUGCCGCGUGCAGGAUGAAGGCCU
rnacentral:rRNA from 1 species